GACGAACGCUGGCGGCGUGCCUAAUACAUGCAAGUUGAGCGAUGAAGAUUGGUGCUUGCACCCAUUUGAAGAGCAGCGAACGGGUGAGUAACGCGUGGGGAAUCUGCCUUUGAGCGGGGGACAACAUUUGGAAACGAAUGCUAAUACCGCAUAAUAACUUUAAACAUAAGUUUUAAGUUUGAAAGAUGCAAUUGCAUCACUCAAAGAUGAUCCCGCGUUGUAUUAGCUAGUUGGUGAGGUAAAGGCUCACCAAGGCGAUGAUACAUAGCCGACCUGAGAGGGUGAUCGGCCACAUUGGGACUGAGACACGGCCCAAACUCCUACGGGAGGCAGCAGUAGGGAAUCUUCGGCAAUGGACGAAAGUCUGACCGAGCAACGCCGCGUGAGUGAAGAAGGUUGUCGGAUCGUAAAACUCUGUUGGUAGAGAAGAACGUUGGUGAGAGUGGAAAGCUCAUCAAGUGACGGUAACUACCCAGAAAGGGACGGCUAACUACGUG
rnacentral:rRNA from 1 species